rnacentral:rRNA from 1 species
CUUGUUGGUGAGGUAAAAGCUCACCAAGGCGACGAUCCGUAGCUGGUCUGAGAGGACGACCAGCCACACUGGGACUGAGACACGGCCCAGACUCCUGCGGGAGGCAGCAGUGGGGAAUUUUGGACAAUGGGCGAAAGCCUGAUCCAGCCAUGCCGCGUGUGUGAAGAAGGCCUUCGGGUUGUAAAGCACUUUUGUCCGGAACGAAACGGCGAGGGCGAAUAUCCCUCGUUAAUGACGGUACCGGAAGAAUAAGCACCGGCUAACUACGUGCCAGCAGCCGCGGUAAUACGUAGGGUGCAAGCGUUAAUCGGAAUUACUGGGCGUAAAGCGUGCGCAGGCGGUUCCGCAAGUCAGAUGUGAAAUCCCCGGGCUCAACCUGGGAACUGCAUUUGAAACUACGGGGCUAGAGUGUGUCAGAGGGGGGUGGAAUUCCACGUGUAGCAGUGAAAUGCGUAGAGAUGUGGAGGAACACCAAUGGCGAAGGCAGCCCCCUGGGAUGACACUGACGCUCAUGCACGAAAGCGUGGGGAGCAAACAGGAUUAGAUACCCUGGUAGUCCACGCCCUAAACGAUGUCAACUAGUUGUCGGUCCUUAAUUGGAUUGGUAACGCAGCUAACGCGUGAAGUUGACCGCCUGGGGAGUACGGUCGCAAGAUUAAAACUCAAAGGAAUUGACG